rnacentral:rRNA from 1 species
UGCAAGUCGAACGCAUCCUUCGGGGUGAGUGGCAGACGGGUGAGUAACACGUGGGAACGUGCCCUCCGGUCUGGGAUAACCCUGGGAAACUAGGGCUAAUACCGGAUACGUGCUUUGGCAGAAAGGUUUACUGCCGGAGGAUCGGCCCGCGUCUGAUUAGCUUGUUGGUGGGGUAACGGCCUACCAAGGCGACGAUCAGUAGCUGGUCUGAGAGGAUGAUCAGCCACACUGGGACUGAGACACGGCCCAGACUCCUACGGGAGGCAGCAGUGGGGAAUAUUGGACAAUGGGCGCAAGCCUGAUCCAGCCAUGCCGCGUGAGUGAUGACGGCCUUAGGGUUGUAAAGCUCUUUUCUCCGGGACGAUAAUGACGGUACCGGAGGAAUAAGCCCCGGCUAACUUCGUGCCAGCAGCCGCGGUAAUACGAAGGGGGCUAGCGUUGCUCGGAAUCACUGGGCGUAAAGGGCGCGUAGGCGGCGUUUUAAGUCGGGGGUGAAAGCCUGUGGCUCAACCACAGAAUGGCCUUCGAUACUGGGACGCUUGAGUAUGGUAGAGGUUGGUGGAACUGCGAGUGUAGAGGUGAAAUUCGUAGAUAUUCGCA